AGAUUGAACGCUGGCGGCAUGCCUUACACAUGCAAGUCGAACGCGAAAGGGGGGCAACCCCCGAGUAGAGUGGCGAACGGGUGAGUAAUACAUCGGAACGUAUCCAGUAGCGGGGGAUAACCUCUCGAAAGAGAGGCUAAUACCGCAUACGACCUACGGGUGAAAGAGGGGGAUCGCAAGACCUCUCACUAUUGGAGCGGCCGAUGUCGGAUUAGCUAGUGGCGGGUAACGCCACAAGGCUACGAUCCGUAGCUGGUCUGAGAGGACGACCAGCCACACUGGAACUGAGACACGGUCCAGACUCCUACGGAGGACAGCAGUAGGGAAUUUGGACAAGUGGCGCAAGCCUGAUCCAGCCAGUGCCGCGUGGAGUGAAGUAAGGCCGUUCGGUUAGGUAAGAC
rnacentral:rRNA from 1 species